CGGUGAUGCCUCCUAACCGUUAUCAAUGGAAGCACUCGAUCAUGCUGUGGGUCAUAUGGACCUUAGACGCAAGUCGUCAAAAGUGUGGUGCGAGGCAGGGUUAGAUGCCCU
rfam:Paenibacillus pectinilyticus strain KCTC13222 scaffold5, whole genome shotgun sequence.